rnacentral:rRNA from 1 species
ACGAACGCUGGCGGCAGGCCUAACACAUGCAAGUCGAACGCCCUAGCAAUAGGGAGUGGCGCACGGGUGAGUAACGCGUGGGAAUGUACCCUUGGGUGCGGAACAACGUCGGGAAACUGACGCUAAUACCGCAUAAUAUCUACGGAUCAAAGAUUUAUCGCCCAAGGAUCAGCCCGCGUAAGAUUAGGUAGUUGGUGGGGUAAUGGCCUACCAAGCCUACGAUCUUUAGCUGGUCUUAGAGGAUGAUCAGCCACACUGGAACUGAGACACGGUCCAGACUCCUACGGGAGGCAGCAGUGAGGAAUCUUGGACAAUGGGGGAAACCCUGAUCCAGCCAUGCCGCGUGAGUGAUGAAGGCCUUCGGGUUGUAAAGCUCUUUCAGAUGUGAAGAUAAUGACGGUAGCAUCAGAAGAAGCUCCGGCUAACUCCGU